rnacentral:snRNA from 1 species
GUACAUAUAUAACCAUUUGUUCUC